rnacentral:rRNA from 1 species
UUCUUAUUAAUUUUUAUAUAAUAAGUAUAAUCUACCCGGUGAAAUUUUAACGGUUAUAUAAUAAUAUUAAAGUAGCGCAAUAAAUUGUCAUCUAAUUAAUGAAUAUAAUGAAGAUUUUAUGAAUUAAAUACUGUCUUUAGAAAAUAUAAUAAAAUUAAUAAUUUAGUGAAAAAUCUUAAUUAUUAUUAAAAGACGAUAAGACCCUAUAGAACUUAUUUAAAAAUUUAAAUUUACUGGGGAAGUAAAAAUAAAUAUAAAACUAUUUUUAAAUAUAAAAAUUUUUUAAUUUUUUAUCCAUUAUUUAAUGAUUAAAAAGUUACCUUAGGGAUAACAGCAUUAAAAGUAUAAAAAGUUCUUAUUUAAAUAUUUUUUAAUGACCUCGAUGUUGAAUUAAGAUAAAAUUAAAAAGUAACAAUUUUAUUUUAUUAGGUCUGUUCGACCUUUAAAAUCAU